ACAGCCAUAUCACAUUGAAACAUUGGUUUCCAUAUCACCAAAGUUAAGCAAUGUCAAGCCUGGUGAGUACCUUGAUAGGUGAUCACUUGGGAAUAUCAGGUGCUGUAA